AUGUGUUGUAAGCCCGCUGCCCGCCCCGUCAGUCCUCCGGUCCACCCAUCCUCCUUCCUUUCUCUGCCACUGGCCUCCCGACGUCGGAGACCGGAGACCGGGGACGGGAUAACUCCCACUCCCCACCCCACCCACAAGCCCCGGGGCCGCACCACGGAGGAUGUGAAGCUGGGGGUCCCCUCGCUCCCGCAGGGCAAAGAAGAUGCCCGAAGAAUGGACCUACCCUAUGAAAAGAGAGAUGCAGGAAAUUUUACCUGGAUUGUUUUUAGGUCCAUAUUCUUCUGCUACGAAAAGCAAGCUACCUGUAUUACAGAAACAUGGAAUAACCCCUAUAAUAUGCAUAAGACAAAAUAUUGAAGCAAACUUUGUUAAAUCAACCUUUCAACAAUUGUUUAGAUAUUUAGUCUUGGAUAUUGCAGAUAAUCCAGUUGAAAAUAUAAUACGUUAUUUUCCCAUGAUUAAAGAAUUUACUGACGGAGAAAAAGUUCUUGUCCCAGGAAAUGCAGGGAUCGCCAGGAGUGCUGCCUCUGUUAUUGCAUACAUUAUGGAAACAUUUGGAGUGAAGUACAGAGAUGCAUUUGCUUAUGUUCAAGAAAGAAGGUUUUGUAUUAAUCCUAAUGCUGGAUUUGUCCAUCAACUUCAGGAAUAUGAAGCCAUCUACCUAACAAAAUUAACAAUACAGAUGACGUCAGCACACAAGAUAGAAAGGUCAUUAUCUGUUCAUUCUGGACUCACAGGCAGUUUGCAGAGAACACAGGAAGAAAAAGAUGGUUUGGGAAACAUGCAGGUGGUGGCUGCAAAGAAUGGCCGGCUCAAGAGCAACAAACAUAGGGGAUGUGAAUUUCUAUUUGGGAGGGAGAAAAUACUAGAGACAAUAAUAAUGUAA